rnacentral:lncRNA from 1 species
CCAUGCAUACACGCACACACACCCCCACACACCACACAUACUGCACACAUACCACGUACACACACACCCAACACAGACAUCACACACUGCACACACACCAUGUAUACAUGCACACAAACCCCCAAACAUCACACACACCACACACCAUGUGCACGUGCACACACCCCACCACAGACACAUACACUGCACACAGACCAGGUGCACACACGCACACCCCUGAUACGCCACACACACACCAUGUGCACACACACACCCCAGACACCACACACACUGCACACACACCAUGUGCACAUGCACACACAUCCCCACACCACAAUGCACAAUGUGCACACACGCAUACCCCCCACACACCGCACACACUACACCACACACAAGAAUCUACUACACACACAACAUACACAUACAGCACCACACACACCCCAUACUCCCCACACACAUCAAACACACGCCCCACACAUACUCCCCACACACUGCACACGUAUAUAUAGCACCACACAGAGCACACACAUCACAUACACACCACACAUACUGUGCACACACACACCACACAUUCUACACUCAUCACACAUCAAACACUACACACAGUACACACACAUCCAGCACCAUACACACACACAUCACAUAAACCACAAACUGCACACACAUAUAUCAUACGCACACCACACCACACGUAGUACACACCCACCACACACACAUACACCACAAACACAGCACAUAUACACACCAUGCACCACCCACAAACUACACACAGUAUACACACAUAACACCCACAAUACACACUACACACACAUAUACAUACCCCAU